UACCAGUAGAUCCUCCAUCCUCACUUUUCACAUGGUGAAACUCCCUUUCCCAUCAAAUUUCUCAAACCCUAUCUUCAUCCCGCUGCCCUUCAUGAUCAAUCCCGAUCAACAAACAGCAGACUAGAUGGAUCUGAAAAAUACUUGAUGUAGGGAUGGUGAACAGCAACCCCAUAGAUCACUUUCUUUUUCACAAACCCUGAAGAAAACCUUAGAUCUGAAACCUUGUUGCUGAUCUCUG
rnacentral:lncRNA from 1 species